AAUCAACGCUGGCGGCGUGCCUAACACAUGCAAGUCGAACGUGAGAGGGGCUUCGGCCCCGAUUGAGUGGCGAACGGGUGAGUAACGCGUGGGUGACCUACCUUCGAGUGGGGGAUAACGUCCCGAAAGGGCGCUAAUACCGCAUAACAUCCUGCUUUUGAAUGGGUGGAGAUCAAAGCCGGGGAUCGCAAGACCUGGCGCUUGAUGAGGGGCCCGCGUCUGAUUAGCUAGUUGGGAGGUAACGGCCCACCAAGGCAACGACU
rnacentral:rRNA from 1 species